GUGGGGGAUAUUGCACAAUGGGGGGAACCCUGAUGCAGCGACGCCGCGUGGGUGAAGAAGUAUUUCGGUAUGUAAAGCCCUAUCGGCAGGGAAGAAAUUGGACGGUACCUGACUAAGAAGCCCCGGCUAACUACGUGCCAGCAGCCGCGGUAAUACGUAGGGGGCAAGCGUUAUCCGGAUUCACUGGGUGUAAAGGGAGCGUAGACGGCCAUGCAAGCCUGGAGUGAAAGCCCGGGGCCCAACCCCGGGACUGCUCUGGGAACUGUGCGGCUGGAGUGCGGGAGGGGCAGGCGGAAUUCCUGGUGUAGCGGUGAAAUGCGUAGAUAUCAGGAGGAACACCGGCGGCGAAGGCGGCCUGCUGGACCGCGACUGACGUUGAGGCUCGAAAGCGUGGGGAGCAAACAGGA
rnacentral:rRNA from 1 species